GAAAUGCGAUAAGUAAUGUGAAUUGCAGAAUUCAGUGAAUCAUCGAAUCUUUGAACGCACAUUGCGCCCGCCAGUAUUCUGGCGGGCAUGGCUGUUCGAGCGUCAUUUCAACCAUCAAGCCCCCGGCUUGUGUUGGGGACCUGCGGCUGCCCGCAGGCCCUGAAAAACAGUGGCGGGCUCGCUGUCACACCGAGCGUAGUAGCAUACAUUCUCGCUCAGGGCGUGCUGCGGGUUCCGGCCGUUAAACGACCUUCAUAACCCAAGGUUGACCUCGGAUCAGGUAGGAAGACCCGCUGAACUUAAGC
rnacentral:misc_RNA from 1 species